GCGGGCGUAACUCAGCGGUAGAGUUCCUGCCUUCCAAGCAGGCUGUCAGGGGUUCGAAUCCCCUCGCCCGCUCCA
rnacentral:tRNA from 1 species